rnacentral:rRNA from 1 species
UACGUAGGGUGCGAGCGUUGUCCGGAAUUAUUGGGCGUAAAGGGCUCGUAGGCGGUUUGUCGCGUCGGGAGUGAAAACCUCGGGCUUAACUCGGGGCUUGCUUUCGAUACGGGCAGGCUAGAGGUAGGCAGGGGAGAACGGAAUUCCUGGUGUAGCGGUGAAAUGCGCAGAUAUCAGGAGGAACACCGGUGGCGAAGGCGGGUCUCUGGGCAGGAUCUGACGCUGAGGAGCGAAAGUGUGGGGAGCGAACAGG